rnacentral:rRNA from 1 species
UACGUAGGUGGCGAGCGUUAUCCGGAAUGAUUGGGCGUAAAGGGUGCGUAGGCGGCCUGCUAAGUCUGGAGUGAAAGGUACCGGCUCAACCGGUACAGGCUCUGGAAACUGGCGGGCUAGAGAGCAGGAGAGGGCGGUGGAACUCCAUGUGUAGCGGUAGAAUGCGUAGAUAUAUGGAAGAACACCAGUGGCGAAGGCGGCCGCCUGGCCUGUUGGUACUGACGCUGAGGCACGAAAGCGUGGGGAGCAAAUAGG